AUGACUCAAUCGAGUCUCUCUUAUGAGUGGUCAGGAUGACUGAUCAAAGUCGGACUUGAUCAUUUAUGGUUAAGAUUUUUUAGUAUGAUCAUAUUAAUGGUUGGACCUAACUAGAUCUUUCAGUAGAGGCCAAAGCUUACUAUUAGGAUCUUGAGGUAAAAUUAACUACUAAAAAUUAUUUGAUGAAACAAUUGGUUAAGAACCUACCCGUAGAAUGC
rnacentral:lncRNA from 1 species